rnacentral:rRNA from 1 species
AGACAUGCAAGUCGAACGGACGAUUCGGGCUUGCUCGAAUCGUUAGUGGCGGACGGCUGAGUAACGCGUAGGUGACCUGCCCCGAAGUGGGGAAUAACUGCCCGAAAGGGUGGCUAAUACCGCAUGUGGUCGCACGUUCACUCGUGCGAGUAAAGCCGCAAGGCGCUUCGGGAGGGGCCUGCGUCCGAUUAGCUCGUUGGUGGGGUAAUGGCUCACCAAGGCGACGAUCGGUAGGUGGUCUGAGAGGACGAUCACCCAGACUGGGACUGAGACACGGCCCAGACUCCUACGGGAGGCAGCAGUCGGGAAUUUUGCUCAAUGGGCGAAAGCCUGAAGCAGCAACGCCGCGUGAGGGAUGAAGGCCUUCGGGUCGUAAACCUCUUUUUCCGGGGACGAUAAUGACGGUACCCGGUGAAUAAGCCACGGCUAACUACGUGCCAGCAGCCGCGGUAAUACGUAGGUGGCGAGCGUUGUCCGGAUUUACUGGGCGUAAAGAGCGCGCAGGCGGUCGUAUAAGUCGAAUGUGAAAGCCCCUGGCUCAACUAGGGAGAGUCAUUCGAUACUGUUCGACUCGAAGGCAGGAGAGGGAAGUGGAAUUCCGGGUGUAGUGGUGAAAUGCGUAGAUAUCCGGAGGAACACCAGUGGCGAAUGCGACUUUCUGGCCUGUUCUUGACGCUGAGGCGCGAAAGCUAAAGGAGCAAACGGGAUUAGAUACCCCGGUAGUCCUAGCCGUAAACGAUGGACACUAGGUGUUGGUGGUAUCAACCCCGCCAGUGCCGAAGCUAACGCAUUAAGUGUCCCGCCUGGGGAGUACGGCCGCAAGGCUAA